UGACUGGGUGGGUGGAUCUCAAAGGAGGCUUCAAGACUGGUUAAUGAAGAGCUGCUGAGAGCCUGGAAGAAGGAGGAACUCAGCCAGGGAAUAGGCCUAGAAGGAGGGCUGUGGAAUCCUGCUCUAAAGGGGAACUAACUUUAAUAUCCAGUCAGGCCUGGACUACACUCCAACAUUAGGUUGACCUAACUACAUUGCUCAGAGCUGUGAAAAAUGUCAUGCCCUGUGUGACCUACGCCCUAGCGCAGACACUGCUAGGUGAACCAAAUAAUUCUUCUGCCGGCCUAGCUACCAACUCUAGCAGAGGUGGAUUUACUAUAAUGACAGAAGAACCCCGUCUGCUGCUGAAGUCUGCAAGAGGGGAGGAGCUUUCCAAAAAGAGGCUGAGACUGACAUCUCGAUGAAAACACAUACGGAUUACUAUAGAACUGUGAAAUGUUUGGCUUGGCUAGAGGGGAUUCCGAGGAGGGUUUAUAUUAAAGACGGUGAAGCACUAGUGAGAAAUUCUGCUUCUGUCAUUUUGGUGGUGGUUGCGGUCGAUUCAGAGUUGGAAUGAAUG